rnacentral:rRNA from 1 species
GUACCAUUUCUUCCCUGGUGAAAGACUUUACAACCCGAAGGCCUUCUUCACUCACGCGGAAUGGCUGGAUCAGGGUUGCNCCCAUUGUCCAAAAUUCCCCACUGCUGCCUCCCGUAGGAGUCUGGGCCGUGUCUCAGUCCCAGUGUGGCUGGUCGUCCUCUCAGACCAGCUACUGAUCGUCGCCUUGGUGAGCCUUUACCUCACCAACUAGCUAAUCAGAUAUCGGCCGCUCCA